AAAAAAAAUGCAAUGAGAAUCCAUGACUUUGAACAAAUUCAUUAUUCCAUGAAAUCCCUCAAGAUGAGAGAUUUGAAUUCCCAACUAGGAGGUGCAACAUUGUGAAAUCCCCCAUUUUAAAGAAUGGAGCAUUUCAUAAUUUUUUAAUACCAAAAAUGUCCAUCAAUUCCAUGGAUUUGGAAUGGAUACCAAACAAGAAAGAAUCUCUACCAGUAUUCCAUGAUCACCACAGGAAAGAGUGCA
rnacentral:misc_RNA from 1 species